UUUAACCUUUCGGGGAGGACGGUCACCACUUUGUGAUUCAUGACUGGGGUGAAGUCGUAACAAGGUAACCCUAGGGGAACCUGGGGUUGGAUCACCUCCUUAUCUUGAAG
rnacentral:rRNA from 1 species